rnacentral:lncRNA from 1 species
UCAUGUAGGUGAGUCUCUCCUUCAGCCAUUUCUUCUUCUAGUUUUUCUUAAACUGGAUAAAUAAAGGUUGAAAAGAAAAGGAGAAAAAAAAAGGAAGAGACGGUGGUAGUGAAAGUGGUGGUGGUUGGGAUAAUGGGCCGAGCGGUGUUGAGCGGAAUAACAUGUGCAGCAAAUGGAGCAGGAGAGUAGAAAAGUUAAAUAGGUUAUCAAAUAAAUUAUUUUUUUAUUAAAUAAAUUAUUUAUUCAUUGAACAUAUUAACCAUACAUAGUU